rnacentral:rRNA from 1 species
UACGGAGGGUCCAAGCGUUAUCCGGAAUCAUUGGGUUUAAAGGGUCUGUAGGCGGUUUUGUAAGUCAGUGGUGAAAGCCCAUCGCUCAACGGUGGAACGGCCAUUGAUACUGCAAGACUUGAAUUAUUAGGAAGUAACUAGAAUAUGUAGUGUAGCGGUGAAAUGCUUAGAGAUUACAUGGAAUACCAAUUGCGAAGGCAGGUUACUACUAAUGGAUUGACGCUGAUGGACGAAAGCGUGGGGAGCGAACAGG